rnacentral:rRNA from 1 species
AUUGAGCGCUGGCGGCAGGCUUAACACAUGCAAGUCGAGCGGGGUGAUGGUGCUUGCACUAUCACUUAGCGGCGGACGGGUGAGUAAUGCUUAGGAAUCUGCCUAUUAGUGGGGGACAACAUCUCGAAAGGGAUGCUAAUACCGCAUACGUCCUACGGGAGAAAGCAGGGGAUCACUUGUGACCUUGCGCUAAUAGAUGAGCCUAAGUCGGAUUAGCUAGUUGGUGGGGUAAAGGCCUACCAAGGCGACGAUCUGUAGCUGGUCUGAGAGGACGACCGGCCGCACUGGGCAUGAGACACGGCCCAGACUCCGACGGGAGGCAGCAGUGGGGAAUUUUGGACAAUGGGCGCAAGCCUGAUCCAGCCAUUCCGCGUGCAGGACGAAGGCCUUCGGGUUGUAAACUGCUUUUGUACGGAACGAAAAGGCUCUGGUUAAUACCUGGGGCUCAUGACGGUACCGUAAGAAUAAGCACCGGCUAACUACGUGCCAGCAGCCGCGGUAA